rnacentral:tRNA from 1 species
CCCUGGUUAGCUUAGUUGGUGGAGCGCUCCGGUGAAAAUGUAGAGGCCCUUUGUUCGAUACAAGGACCAGGUG